CGUUUCCUACGGGAGGCAGCAGUGAGGAAUAUUGGUCAAUGGCCGAGAGGCUGAACCAGCCAAGUCGCGUGAGGGAAGAAUGUCCUAUGGAUUGUAAACCUCUUUUGUCAGGGAGCAAAGUCACCCACGUGUGGGUGUUGGAGAGUAGCUGAAGAAAAAGCAUCGGCUAACUCCGUGCCAGCAGCCGCGGUAAUAAGGAGGAUGCGAGCGUUAUCCGGAUUUAUUGGGUUUAAAGGGUGCGUAGGCGGGUUAUCCAGUCAGCGGGAAAAUAGGGGA
rnacentral:rRNA from 1 species